rnacentral:rRNA from 1 species
GAGGCGGGGGAAGUCCUAACAAGGUUUCCGUAGGUGAACCUGCGGAAGGAUCAUUG